rnacentral:lncRNA from 1 species
UAUCCCCUCAAUGCCCAUUGUCUCCUUCUUCCACUUUAGCUGGGCUCGUGGCCACCCACCCACAGAUGGUAUUUCCUAGUAUCCUAGGUGUGGCCACAUGACUACAUUUAUCAGAAUGGAAUGUCAGUGAAAUCUCCAACUAUAUUGUAAAUUCCUGAUGAUCAGAAACCCUAACAUAUAUUUUAUUUCCAACAGUACCCAUCCAGUAUUAUGUUAAUAAAUGUUUGUUGAUCUAGCUUUUUAUCUUGACUAAUGUUUCAUCUGUACUAUAUAUUUUGCAUCAGAAAUAAAUUUUAUGAUUCUAGAAACAUGAAAAAGAAUAGAAUGUAAAUGGAAGUAAUGUGUACAACCUACAAAUCAUUUACUUCACAGGAAAUUGCUUGCUCUCCAUUUUUGCUCUACUCCUCUUCCUAAAAACUGAAAUAGGGAUGUGGAGCUGACACAGCUUCAACCAUGCUGGAGUGCAGUAGCAUAAUCA